GUCCCCUGUGGCUGGCUAAGGGAGCGGCAAUGGGAGCACCGAAUGGAUGCGCUGCCUCCUCCUUCGAGGAUUCCUCUGACCUGAGUAAUCCUCCCGUUUCUUUAAAAAGGCUGUUUUGUACAGGAGGAAAGCUGGCAUAACCCCGAGGGAGCUGCUGGCUUCCCCUGAGAAACACCACGGCUUGUGGAAAGAGGAGAAAAGAAUCCUUGUUCUGGUGAAUACCUGAGCAGGAGCGCACGCUCGCCGGUGUUCGAAGCGGUGCUGGGAUGGUGCGAUAUAAUCUUGUCUCUGUGAGCAGGAUUCUUAAAUGGGACUUGGAGAACAUCACCAAACACGGUGAUGGCCACGACAACGCCACUGGGCUUGGCAGUGCAGAAUAUCUCUGUGGAGUAGGAAAGUCCAUCUAGGCCCAGCCUAAGGGAGUCUGGAGCCUUCUGAUUACAGGUGCUGGAUUUAACAGCAUCACCCCCACACACACAGACACCCUUGUGCCUUGUUCAAAAUCAGUUAUUAGCACACCCAGGCUUAGGAGCAUCCAGUUCCACACAGGUGUGAGGUUACUGAACAUAUGAAGGCAUCUUACAGAAAUUCAAGUUAUCACAGGCAUUUUAUGCCUGUUUCCUCAGUAACCUUAAAUGAGAAUGCAGCAAGAUCAGAAGCUGAGCUGCACACUUGGUCUCACAUAGGAAAGUGUUGCUUGGUACAUAUAAUUAAAUAAAUCUGUUUUGCUGACACUCCCUCCCCCACCCUUCCCUCAGCUAUUUUUAUGCUUGGCUUAGUGGAAAAGACUUGGUGCCUCUGGGUGUGAAGCAUGAAGCCAUUCAAAAUGAAGCUGUCCCCUGAAGAAGACAAUCCUGAGAAGGAAUAAUGCUGGCCUCUCAGGGAGCAUGAAAGCAGCAGAGGAAUGCAGGGGAGAGGAGGUGGCUGGGCUUGGCCUGCAGCACCGAGAAGUCUUUUCCAUUUGCAGCUUUCUCCUCCUGCAGUCAGAGCUGUUUAAUGGGAUCACGAGGGCUGCUGUGCCAUUACUUAGGGAAGAGGGUAUAAAAACGACAGCAGCUAAUAAGCACCCAUUUCUCAUCAGUGGCCUCAUAAGGCUAAUUGCACAAACAGAACGUUUGGGAGGCCAACGGGCUGGAAAUGACAUUCUGUUUGCUGGAUCCAGACCAGCACACAGAGACUGCCUCCCUGCGCCUGGACACAAACAAAGACAGGGCUAUCCCUAAGUGUGUGCCCACAGGAGGACACAGACUUCAGAAACUGAGCUGGAAUGCUGAAGACACAGCACAGCCAUUCUUCCUGAUGAUCAGGAGGCAAGGGGAGCAGAAACAUUGAAUGUUCCUUUGUCCAUAAAUGUCCAGACCACAUUCCUGGUUCUGAAGUUCCCUCACAGAAAGGAAGGCUUUGUCUGGAGCUCACGACUGAGGACUGGAAGAAAGACUGAAAAAAAUACCUGAAAAAAAAAAAAAAAACUAAAAAAAAACCCCAAUCCAAGCUUGGUGGACCAGGGUGGAAACACACCUUGAGCUGAGGCCUCUGUCAAGAGGAGGCAUUGAUGCUUCCCAGAGAAGAGGCUGGCUGAUGGGAAGGGCAGACACUGGACAGAGCUGUGUGUGGCCCCAGAGCAGCAUAAAGGCAGGGAGUGUGUGUUUAUGUGUGUAGGAAGGGAGCUGCUGGUGGUGGGAGUGCAGCCCCUGCACGUGAAUUGUAGAUGUCAAAGCUGAAAAAGUGCUUGUUGGCCUGUUCACUUCCCCUUCUUUUGGCUGCUGAAGAUUUGAGAAGUUGAAUCUUCCACUCAUGGCACCAAAGGAUCUAAUGCUGUGUAUUUGCUCUAGUAACAUCAGUCACUAAUUAGAUAAUUCUGACCAAAAAAAAAAUACUUGACAAGAUUGGUUCUUUCAAACAUCCAGGUUCAUUUUGCUCUUAGUAUCACUAUCCAGGUUUAUUUUAAACCAAUAUUUAAGUUUUCUUCUCACUCUGAUCUAUAGUUAGGCUUGUUAGGAAGUGUCUGUGCUGUUUUUUCUAUUUUUAAAAUAUGGGCCCACGUUUGAUGGGUUUUUGCUUGAGAUUCUCUGGUGCACUGCUGGUAAAAUUAACUCAUAACCAGUUCUCAAGGCUAUUGGAAAGCUAUGACCACAUUAGAAUACAUCCUGUUCUAAAUGAUUUGGAUAUCCUAGACUUUUUUUUUU